ACACACACACACACACACACACUGACAGACAUACAGGUACACACAAACUUACAGAUACACAGACAUAGAGAUACACACUGACAGACAUGCAGAUACACACACACACAGUGACAGACAUACAGAUACACAGACAUAGAGAUACACACACUGACAGAAAUACAGACACACAUACACUGGUAAACAUACUGAUACACACACACUUCUUUCU